AUUGAACGCUGGCGGCAGGCUUAACACAUGCAAGUCGAGCGGGGUGAUGGUGCUUGCACUAUCACUUAGCGGCGGACGGGUGAGUAAUGCUUAGGAAUCUGCCUAUUAGUGGGGGACAACAUCUCGAAAGGGAUGCUAAUACCGCAUACGUCCUACGGGAGAAAGCAGGGGAUCACUUGCGACCUUGCGCUAAUAGAUGAGCCUAAGUCGGAUUAGCUAUUUGGUGGGGUAAAGGCCUACCAAGGCGACGAUCUGUAGCGGGUCUGAGAGGAUGAUCCGCCACACUGGGACUGGGACACGGCCCAGACUCCUACGGGAGGCAGCAGUGGGGAAUAUUGGACAAUGGGGGGAACCCUGAUCCAGCCAUGACGCGUGUGUGAAGAAGGCCUUAUGGUUGUAAAGCACUUUAAGCGAGGAGGAGGCUCUUUUGGUUAAUACCCAAGAUGAGUGGACGUUACUCGCAGAAUAAGCACCGGCUAACUCUGUGCCAGCCGCCGCAGUAA
rnacentral:rRNA from 1 species